GGAAUUUUUAAAGCUGUCCAUGUGAUUCCACUCUGCAGUCCCAGCUCAGAAUUCUGCUCCAGGAUCUCUGCAGACCUUGGGAAGAAGGGCUGAAGGAAGCCUUGCCCAGCAUUGUGCUCUGGGGGCCAGUGACCGGGCAGCACGUCUGGGGGCUCACCUCCAUCCCCCCUCACCUAACAACACUCUGUGCCGGGGUGCCUGGCCCACAUCUACAAAUGGGUCCACAGAGCAUGCCCCAGGAAACAGCAGUUGCUUCAGCUUGGGUGCUGAGUGAAGAGUCCUGUGAAGCCAACUGGAAGUCUCUCCACAGCCUGGAGCAGAACUGCAGCUCACCCAUCUGCCCUCAUGCACGUGACCAAGAGGUGAGUGUUCAUCAUUCUCAUUUGGAGUUGUUACUGUAGCAAAGCCUGACUGAUACUGAUGGGGUUAA
rnacentral:lncRNA from 1 species